rnacentral:lncRNA from 1 species
GACAGUUGGAGUCAAGACAAAAUUGCAGGAAAAAACUUCGCACAUCGUUAUUCAGGCAGGUCAGUCAGUGUUAACGUGGGCGAUACCAAUGGCAGGCCGUGCAGGAGUUUCCCUAGGAGCAGAGAUCAGUGAGGGUUGGAUGAAUUACAGAAUUUCAGAAGAGCCUGAGGAUCAACAGGAUUUAGGUGGUCUUAGGAGGGGCAAUCUUUGUUUUAGGUAUGAAAGAAAAGGCAGACUUUCCUUAAAGCAGUGAACACAGAUUUUAUUUGGUAACCAGUAGGGGUUGCUGACAGUAGGAGAAAGAGCUGAGCUCCACCUCAGAUUUAUGCAGAGUUGACUGGGUGCUUUUAUUUAUUUUUUAUUUGUUUUAUUUUUUUGUCUUUUUUGGGCCACACCUGAGGCACAUGGAGGUUCCUAGGCUACAGGUCAAAAUGGAGCCAUAGCGGCUGGCCUACACCACAGCCACAGCACUGGAUCCAAGCCGUGACUCCGACCUACCUACACUACAGCUCACAGCAAUGCCAGAUCCUUAGCCCACUGAGCAAGGCCAGGGAUCAAACUCGCAUCCUCAUGGAUACUAGUUGGGUUCAUUAACCACUGAGCCAUGAUCGGAACUCCUGACUGGGUGCUUUCAAAGGGAGAAUGAGGGAGCAGAGAGGGGUAGUGGGUGGGGCUCAAGUAGAGUUCAGAGAAGUGAAAAAUUAUAAAACGUGGGUAAGAGUGGGUCAGUGUAAAUGUGAUAAGGCCAGCUGUGCCUGCCAGCUGGCAAUCUUGAAGUUAGGAUUCUCUCCUUCCUGUGAUGACAUACCAAAGAAAUGGCUUUCAGGUCCUUGAGAAAGACACAGCCCUCAGUUUAGCUCAAAUAAAACUUUUUUUCCUAUUCUAGAUUGUGUAUUGACUAUCCCUGUCGAUAAAGCAUUACUGACAAAAGAGGGAAAACUGGUUUCCUGAGUCAGGAAUGAGGAGGGAACACGUUUGGUUCGGGGCUGCGUUGACUGAGGUGUUGGACAACACGUGGAGUGGUCCAGCAGGCAGGCUGAGCCUGAGGUAGACAGGACCGCCGUCCCUGGCACCCUGAGCAUAAGGACGGUGGCCACUGUGAGGGCGGGUGGGCUCUCCAGGGGAGAGCUGAGCAAACGCCUGAGGAACAAUAAACUCAGGGGAAAAAGAGAGAGGAGUCAAAGAAAAAAUGAACUGUUUUACAGACUGGCUCAUCAGAAAAUUGAAGGCAGAGGAGGAUAGAAGGCAGGACGCACAAGGCCUGGCAUGGAGCUCGAGGGGGGAGACAGAUGGGGGGCAGCAAAUGGUGAGAGCUGGAGCGCAGGGGGUCUCCAGGUGGAGGUGGUGGGGGCUGGGUGGAGGUGGGGAAGGCAUCUUCCAGGAGGAGAAGCAGCACUGAAUCCAGACCUGAAGGCCCAGUAAUGUGAACUAGAGAAAGCCACUGGGUUGAAAUCAAAAUGCGUAGACUUUUGUCUCCAUUCAUUUGGUUCUUGACCACUGUUUCUAGCCAUUGUCGUAAUAUACUAACAACAUCUAAUCUUGGGGAAAGCAUUUUUCUUUUUUUUCUUCCUAAGUAAAUUUAUUGACAAUAUGUACCAUAUUUUGUGAUUAUUAAGCUUUGGCAUGGAAAAUGAAGCUUUCUACUGCCAAGGAACUAGGGGGAGCUUUUUUACAUAUAAUUGUUUUACAUAAACAAUUAUUUAAAUGAUAAUUUAUGAGAUUUUAAAUGUGCAUGGCAUUCUCAACACCUACUGGAUAUUAAGUUAAUGUAAUAUUUUUAACAAUCAUCUAAGUUUUGCAUUGAUAAUAGAUGAAGAGUAGAUCUUGAACUUGAUUUUUUAAUUGGAAACUAUAUUUCUUUUUUUAACGUUUGUUUAACAUUUUUUAAAAUUAUAGUUGAUUUACAAUGUUCUGUCAGUUUCUGCUGUACAGCAAAGUGACCCGGUCAUACAUAUAUAUAUUUAUACAUUCUUUUUCCUACAUUGUCUUCCAUCAUGUUCCAUCCCAAGUGACUGGAUACAGUUCCCUGGGCUAUACAGCAGGAUCUCAUUGCUUAUCCACUCCAAAUGCAUUGGUUUGCAUCAACUUCUAUAUCUUACUUAGUAGGCAUACAAUGCUCAGAAUUCUAAGGAGCCCUCGUUUUAUGGUGUAUAUGCCACUUUGUUCACAUUCCCUCCCACACACUCAACACAACUUAUCAGCAAGAAGGUCAUUUAGAACUGCUUUGCUGAGAACAGCAUUUACUCAAAACUUCAAAAUUCCAGUCCAUUCCCUCUUCAGCCCCAGCCCCGAAAUAUUCAUCUAGAAUCCUCUGCCCACCCCCUGCCUGCCCCCUAACACCCAUUCCACCCAGCAAUCUCCUGACCUUUCUUCUACCCGCCUCCCUGUCUCAGAUGUGGAAUCACCUGGCACUUCUGCCCUCCUCUCCCUGCUUCCUGUCCUUCUAUCUGAGCAACCCCAGACCUUGGGUCAUUCUUGUCUUCUUCCAUCUUCUCAACGCCUGCAACACCUGCCAGGCUACUGGACAAGCCUAACCCACCAGGCAGACAGCAUCGCCACAAUUGGCAACAUCCAGCUGUGGGCAGAGUACUCAGUGCUGUGUGACUAUCCCCCACUUGUCCUGGACCUUCUCCCUCUCCCAGGCUCUCACCAGCCAUGCUAGAUCUUCCCCCGUCUCCCGAGGCCUGUCCUCCUCACUCUUAGCUGAUGACUUCACCUCCUGCUCAGAGAGAAAGGAGAAGACAUCACACAGAUUGUCAAUGUCCUCUCCCAUGUGUGCUUCCUCUUCAGGAAUUCCCCAGGCUGGCCACCCACUCUGUUCCCUCCAUAAAGCACACUGACUGACUGUCAGAGCCAGGGCUAGGGAGAGGCAAGCAAGGCACUCAUUUGGGGCACAAAAUUUAAGGGGUACCAAAAAGUACAGUAAUCGUAAUAAAUAAUAUUUUAAAAACAAUAAUUUUAAAAAAUAAAAAUAAUACAAAAAAAAAAUCCAUGACGUACAAAACAUUAAAAUUUUAAAUAGAGACAAGCUCCAACCCUGCACUUACUUGGCCCUGCCUCCUCCCCUCACCCUAAGCCCAUCCUGCUGCAUGUAGCCCCCUGUUGCUGAAUAUUGUUGACUGGAAAGUGAUCUUGACUCUGCAUUCAUAUACACAUAACAGAAGCAAAGUUUCACCAAGAAACAUUUACACUUACUAUAUGUAAUACAUACUUCUGACGUCAGCCCGCUAAAUGGUGUCCACAAAUGUUUGAGUGGAGACCUGCAGUUUGAAGAAACCACCAGUAGAGGGAUCGAAAGUUCUCUCUUACUGUAAAGUGAUCCUCUCACCCUUUGGUCAUUGCCAAAACAAAAAUGAAUCCCAAAGUUCCAUAAAGAAGAUAAUGUAAUCCAAAGGGAAGACUAGGAGACUAGAAUUAGGAAAUAUUAGGGACCAUUAUAAAAAAACAACAACAACUAAGUCAUUUAAUUAUUCUGCUCUGAUUCCAGUUUCUUCCUUGUCAGGGAAAUAAAAGAUUACUAUGAAACCUGCCCCCCUGAAUGUCCCUAUAUCAUCUCUAUAGAAACACACUUAAAUUUUAUAGUUUCACAUGAAUUAGGAAAAAGGACUGGUGUUUUCAUUUAAGAGAUCAAUCUGAUAUUCACAAUGUCUCAUGAAUCAUCAGUAUUAAAGAUGAAAGUGGCAGGUUUAACAGCUUUGAACUUAAACUGACAAGGAUCCUCUAGGGAGCUACUGUAAAGUUUACUACUUUGUACCUUUUUAGUCUUUCAAGUCCCAUGGUCUGGCAAUUCUUGGCUCUUGCCCAGGGAUGGCAAAAGACAGACAGAUAAAAUUAUCUAUAAAUUCUUAAUGCUACAUCAACUUCUACAUGCUAAGUCUUUUUUUUUCCCCCUUAGCUUCUUUUGAUGAGCUAGUCCUCGUUAAACAAACCUGCCCUUGCUUAAACCAGUUCAGGAGCCAAAUGGGGAUGUUAAAUGCAGGCGUUCCCUAGUGGUUCAGCAGGUUAAAGACCUGGCACUCUUGAUGCUACAGCUUUGGUUACAGCUGUAGUUCAGUCCCUGGCCCUGGAACUUAUGCACAUCACAGGCAUUGCCAAAAAAAAAAAAA